rnacentral:rRNA from 1 species
UACGUAGGGUGCAAGCGUUGUCCGGAAUUAUUGGGCGUAAAGAGCUCGUAGGCGGUCUGUUGCGUCGGCUGUAGAAAACCCGAACGGCUCAACCUCGGGCCUGCAGCCGAUACGGGCAGACUAGAGUUCGGCAGGGAGACUGGAAUUCCUGGUGUAGCGGUGAAAUGCGCAGAUAUCAGGAGGAACACCGGUGGCGAAGGCGGGUCUCUGGGCAACAACUGACGCUGGAGGAGCGAAAGCCGUGGGGAGCGAACAGG